GAUGAACGCUGGCGGCGUGCCUAAUACAUGCAAGUCGAGCGAACGGACGAGAAGCUUGCUUCUCUGAUGUUAGCGGCGGACGGGUGAGUAACACGUGGAUAACCUACCUAUAAGACUGGGAUAACUUCGGGAAACCGGAGCUAAUACCGGAUGAUAUUUUGAACCGCAUGGUUCAAAAGUGAAAGACGGUCUUGCUGUCACUUAUAGAUGGAUCCGCGCUGCAUUAGCUAGUUGGUAAGGUAACGGCUUACCAAGGCAACGAUGCAUAGCCGACCUGAGAGGGUGAUCGGCCACGCUGGAACUGAGACACGGUCCAGACUCCUACGGGAGGCAGCAGUAGGGAAUCUUCCGCAAUGGGCGAAAGCCUGACGGAGCAACGCCGCGUGAGUGAUGAAGGUCUUCGGAUCGUAAAACUCUGUUAUUAGGGAAGAACAUAUGUGUAAGUAACUGUGCACAUCUUAACGGUACCUAAUCAGAAAGCCACGGCUAACUACG
rnacentral:rRNA from 1 species